CGUAGGGCAAGCGUUGUCCGGAUUUAUUGGGCGUAAAGGGCACGCAGGCGGUCUUCUAAGUCAGAUGUGUAAGGUCUCGGCUCAACCGAGAAGUUGCAUCUGAAACUGGGGGACGUUGAGUGCAGGAGAGGAGAGUGGAAAUUCUCGGUGUAGUCGGUGGAAUGCGUAGAGAUCGGGAGGAACACCAGUGGCGAAGGCGACUCUCUGGCCUGUAACUGACGCUGAGGUGCGAAAGCGUGGGAGCGAACAGGAUU
rnacentral:rRNA from 1 species